rnacentral:rRNA from 1 species
UGGGGAAUCUUGCGCAAUGGCCGAAAGGCUGACGCAGCGACGCCGCGUGGAGGAUGACGCCCUUCGGGGUGUAAACUCCUGUUGCCCGGGACGAAUACCCGUUUCGACGGGGGUGACGGUACCGGGUGAGGAAGCACCGGCUAACUCUGUGCCAGCAGCCGCGGUAAUACGGAGGGUGCGAGCGUUGUCCGGAAUCACUGGGCGUAAAGGGCGCGUAGGCGGCUGGGUAAGCGUGUGGUGAAAGCCCGGGGCUCAACCCCGGGUCGGCCAUGCGAACUGUCCAGCUGGAGCACGGUAGAGGCACAUGGAAUUCCGGGUGUAGCGGUGGAAUGCGUAGAGAUCCGGAAGAACACCGGUGGCGAAGGCGGUGUGCUGGGCCGUGGCUGAUGCUGAGGCGCGACAGCGUGGGGAGCAAACA